rnacentral:lncRNA from 1 species
UGGCAUGAGAUCAGCCCAAACCUUGUUUUUCCACAAACACAUAGUAGAAUCAGUAAUUAAUUAUCUCACCGAAGCAAGAACAAGGUGAGGGACAUGUUCUUAGAUUCAGCAGAUAACCAAUGACCCGAAUCCACAACGAGCUGAAUUCUGCCUAGAUUUCUUUUUAUAUAGUAUUAGGAGAGUCUAAUUCUACUUUUAAAUGAGUCAUGAAACAAAUCACUUAAAUGCCUUUUUAAAAAAAUCAAACACAAAAGUUAUUACACAUCAUUUAAUGUGAUACAAAACCUUGACCAAAUUGGGGCAGGCUAGGGCCAUGUUUUUCAGUAAAGUCGAACAGUGUAUUCCUGGUCUAGCUUCGGAAGGACUGUAUGUAGUCACCACUAUCCUGGGCAGCGAUGGUGCUGGGAAAGCCCUUCCCUACAAAAUGCUAACUUCCUUAGUAUUCGCUCAUGUCAAAAGCAAGGACCAAACAACUGUCUCCAGUAGCCUACUUCAGACAGUUGGGUCUCAUCUUUUACAUUUCAGUAGCUUGCUGAAGAAGCAGCAACUGAUAAGUGCUCAAACAUGACCCUGCAAG